AAAGAAGGUAUUGGUUGCUCUAAACUGAUACACCUUAUAGAAUACACCCCAGUGAAUUUUGUUGUGGUGCCACUGCUAGGCGAUUUGGAACACCAGUUUGCAGCAUUACAAAUAGCCGACCCUAAUAUGUUUUAGUCCUUUACAAGGAACAAAUUGCUUCUUGAUUAGUUCUUAAUUACUCCUUGAUUGUCAGCUGCUGCCUGAGACUAUGCCCAAUUCCAGCUUUGUCCCGGUGUUGUUGCCCUGUAGAACUGGAUAACAAAUGUCAAUUUUGUAAAAAUGGGGCUAUAAAGACACCCAGGAACACAGAGCAAGCUCUCUCUACAGAUUGCUGUUUCACGCAGUUUGCCCAGGGAUUCCACUAAGGAGCUGAGAAGCAGUUCUAUUUUUUUCCUUCUUUUCCCUCACUUAAAGAUAAUUUAUGAGGACAAGCAGAAAGAGGUGCUUGAAAAUGCUAUAGCAACUGUCACCCAGCAAUCCGUCUUUGGAUUUUACUUGGAGAGCCAGUGAGCUGUCUGCAAAGGCCUGGGGACUGCCUUCUGUUUUCAGAAUCGCAUUUCUUAAUGUGUGCAAUGCCAGCAAGCCCAUCAAUGGAGGCAUAAUAUCAAGGGGUUUCAGCAUGUGACUUCUGCCACAAAUUUCAUUAAGAACCUAGCAUGAAGGAUAUUUAGCUCUCAUCAUAACAAUUAGAAUAAUGUAACUCUGUAGGCAUGGUAAUACUCACAUAAAGUAGAAUAACAUUUUUUUUAAAUUAUAAAAAUCACCGGACAGGAUAUGAUAUUCUGCAUUGCUUUGGGCAUUGUAUAAUAUGCAAAAAAAAAAAUCCUUAAUGUAAUGACCUAUAUAUGUGCCUCAUAUGCUUAAUGUACUAUGUUCAUCUUUCUGUGCGCAAAAGUACAUAUCAAUAAGAAUCUAACACUCUAAGGGGGCAUUUACUAACAUCCGUAUUUAUUUACUUUCACAAUUUGUGUUUUUUGUGCAAA